AUUGAACGCUGGCGGCAGGCCUAACACAUGCAAGUCGAACGAGUGGCGGACGGGUGAGUAAUGUCUGGGACACUGCCCGAUGGAGGGGGAUAACUACUGGAAACGGUAGCUAAUACCGCAUACCAUCGGAUGUGCCCAGAUGGGAUUAGCUAGUAGGUGGGGUAAAGGCUCACCUAGGCGACGAUCCCUCGCUGGGCUGAGAGGAUGACCAGCAACAAUGGAACUGAGAGACGGUCCAGAGUCCUACGGGAGGCAGCAGUGGGGAAUAGUGCACAAUGGGCGCAAGCCUGAUGAAGCCAUGCCGCGUGUAGGAAGAAGGCCUUCGGGUUGUAAAGUACUUUCAGAGGGGAGGCGUUACCCGCAGAAGAAGCACCGGCUAACUCCGUGCCAGCAGACGCGGUAAUAC
rnacentral:rRNA from 1 species